rnacentral:rRNA from 1 species
AUUGAACGCUGGCGGCAUGCCUUACACAUGCAAGUCGAACGGCAGCACGGGGGCAACCCUGGUGGCGAGUGGCGAACGGGUGAGUAAUACAUCGGAACGUGCCCCGCAGCGGGGGAUAACCAGUCGAAAGAUUGGCUAAUACCGCAUACGCUCCACGGAGGAAAGCAGGGGACCCGCAAGGGCCUUGCACUAGGGGAGCGGCCGAUGCCCGAUUAGCUAGUUGGUGAGGUAAAGGCUCACCAAGGCUACGAUCGGUAGCUGGUCUGAGAGGACGACCAGCCACACUGGGACUGAGACACGGCCCAGACUCCUACGGGAGGCAGCAGUGGGGAAUUUUGGACAAUGGGCGCAAGCCUGAUCCAGCCAUGCCGCGUGCGGGAAGAAGGCCUUCGGGUUGUAAACCGCUUUUGGCAGGAACGAAACGGCGCGAGCUAAUACCCCGCGCUAAUGACGGUACCUGCAGAAUAAGCACCGGCUAACUACGUGCCAGCCGCCGCGGUAAGAC